rnacentral:rRNA from 1 species
AGGGUGUAAACGCUGCGGGCUUGGUGUUGGGGGUCCUUUGAGGGCGCCCAGUGCCGGAGAGAAGUUGUUAAGCCUGCUGCUUGGGGAGUACGUCCGCAAGGAUGAAACUUAAAGGAAUUGGCGGGGGAGCACCGCAACGGGAGGAGCGUGCGGUUCAAUUGGAUUCAACGCCGGAAAACUCAUCGGGAGCGACAGCAGUAUGAUUGCCAGGUUGAUGACCUUGCUUGACAAGCUGAGAGGUGGUGCAUGGCGUAGUCGUGU